rnacentral:rRNA from 1 species
AGAACGAACGCUGGCGGCAGGCCUCAAACAUGCAAGUCUAGGGGGUGUAGCAAUACAUCACCGGCGGACGGGUGCGUAACACGUGGGAAUAUACCUUUUGGUUCGGAACAACGCAGGGAAACUUGCGCUAAUACCGAAUGUGCCCUUACGGGGAAAGAUUUAUCGCCAAAGGAUUAGCCCGCGUAGGAUUAGCUAGUUGGUGAGGUAAUGGCUCACCAAGGCUCCGAUCCUUAGCUGUUCUGAGAGGAAGAUCAGCCACACUGGGACUGAGACACGGCCCAGACUCCUACGGGAGGCAGCAGUUGGGAAUCUUGGACAAUGGGGGAAACCCUGAUCCAGCCAUGCCGCGUGAGUGAUGAAGGCCUUCGGGUUGUAAAACUCUUUCGACGGGGACAUAAUGACGGUACCCGUAGAAGAGCUCCGGCUAACUUCGCGCCAGCAGCCGC